GCCAUGAUGGCAAAUUCUUUGCCAGAAUGACCCUGGAUACGCUUAGCAUCUAUGAAACUCCUUCUAUGGGGCUUUUGGACAAGAAGAGUUUGAAGAUCUCCGGGAUAAAAGACUUUUCUUGGUCUCCUGGUGGUAACAUAAUCGCCUUCUGGGUGCCUGAAGACAAAGAUAUUCCAGCCAGGGUAACUCUGAUGCAGCUCCCUACCAGGCAAGAGAUCCGAGUGAGAAACCUGUUCAAUGUGGUGGACUGCAAGCUCCAUUGGCAGAAGAACGGAGACUACUUGUGUGUGAAAGUAGAUAGGACUCCGAAAGGCACCCAGGGUGUUGUCACAAAUUUUGAAAUUUUCCGAAUGAGGGAGAAACAGGUACCUGUGGAUGUGGUCGAAAUGAAAGGCAAGUUGUAUCUUAGUCACUUUGAGGUGAAUGGGGCCUAUGUGCUGUUUUACUCUUGGUUUUUAACACUUCCAUGCGAGGGAUUGUCUGAGCAACUGAGUCAGGACUGUGAGCCCUCACCAUGAAUAACCAUCUCCAGGUCACAGAACAUGUUUAGAGCCUGGGCAACAUAGUGAGACCCUCUCUGUACAAAAAAAAAUUUAAAAAUUAGCCAGGUGUGGUGGUGCGCACCGAUAGUCCCAGCUGUUUGAGACGCUGACGUGGGAGGAUCACUUGAGCCCAGGAGCAGAGGUUGCAGUGAACUGAGAUUGCGCCCCUGCACUCCAGCCUGGGUGACGGA
rnacentral:sRNA from 1 species